GGCAAAUAGUGACUGCACAACAUGGAGCAACGAGCAGAAGACCCUUUGCUACAACUGCGAGUCAUGUAAGGCUGGGAUGGUUGACAACAUCAGGCAUAAGUGGAAACAAUUGGCCAUAUUCAAUGUUUGUAUUACUAUUAUCCUCAUCGUUUUCUAUUCCAUUGGUUGCUGUGCUAGGAAGAACAAUUCUACUAAGAAAGUUCAUGGCAAAUUUAAAGGAUAUAGAGCUUACCCUUGACAUCCUACUAUAAAAUGUCGUUUUAGGCUUUCUUUUUUUAUUAUUUUUCAUUUUUUUAACAAAAUUUGAACGAUUGAUUCUUGUGUUAUUGUUAUUAGUGUGAUUUAUUGUUUUUUAUUGUUAUUUUUUUUUUUC
rnacentral:misc_RNA from 1 species